rnacentral:rRNA from 1 species
GACGAACGCUGGCGGCGUGCCUAACACAUGCAAGUCGAGCGGGAACCUCAGGAGGGGUAACCCUCCUGAGGGGAGAGCGGCGAACGGGUGAGUAACACGUGGGCAACCUGCCCCGGACACCGGGAUAACCCAGGGAAACCUGAGCUAAUACCGGAUACUCCGGCGAGAUCGCAUGGUCGCGCCGGGAAAGCUCCGACGGUCCGGGAUGGGCCCGCGGCCUAUCAGCUUGUUGGUGGGGUAAGGGCCCACCAAGGCGACGACGGGUAGCUGGUCUGAGAGGACGGCCAGCCACACUGGGACGGAGACACGGCCCAGACUCCUGCGGGAGGCAGCAGUGGGGGAUCUUGCGCUAAUGCGCGAAAGCGUGACGCAGCGACGCCGCGUGGGGGAUGAAGGCCCUCGGGUUGUAAACCCCUUUCGGCAGGGACGAAGCGAAAGUGACGGUACCUGCAGAAGAAGUCCCGGCUAACUACGUGCCAGCCGCCGCAGUAACAC